CCCGCACAAGCGGCGGAGCAUGCGGAUUAAUCGAUGCAACGCGAAGAACCUUACCAAGGCUUGAAAUGACACGGACCGCCUGAGAAUCAGGUUUCCUGGGCAACCAGGCCGUGCCACAGAUGGUGCAUGGUUGUCGUCAGCUCGUGCCGUGAGGUGUUGGGUUAAGUCCCGCAACGAGCGCAACCCUCGCCAGAUGUUGCCAUCGGGUCAUGCCGGGCACUCUUCUGGGACUGCCUGAGUAAUCAGGAGGAAGGAGAGGAUGACGUCAAAUCUGCAUGCCUCUUACGUCCUGGGCUGCACGCGUGCUACAAUGGCGGGUACAAAGGGUAGCCAAACCGCGAGGUGGAGCCAAUCCCACAAAACCCGUCCCAGUUCGGAUCGGAUGUCUGCAACUCGACUCCGUGAAGGCGGAAUCGCUAGUAACCGUGGAUCAGCAACGCCACGGUGAAUACGUUCCCGGGCCUU
rnacentral:rRNA from 1 species